rnacentral:rRNA from 1 species
GACGAACGCUGGCGGCGUGCUUAACACAUGCAAGUCGAACGGAAAGGCCCUGCUUUUGUGGGGUGCUCGAGUGGCGAACGGGUGAGUAACACGUGAGUAACCUGCCCUUGACUUUGGGAUAACUUCAGGCAACUGGGGCUCAUACCGGCUAGGAGCUCCUGCUGCAUGGUGGGGGUUGGAAAGUUUCGGCGGUUGGGGAUGGACUCGCGGCUUAUCAGCUUGUUGGUGGGGUAGUGGCUUACCAAGGCUUUGACGGGUAGCCGGCCUGCGAGGGUGACCGGCCACAUUGGGACGGAGAUGCGGCCCAGACUCCUACGGGAGGCAGCAGUGGGGAAUAGUGCACAAUGGGCGGAAGCCUGGUGCAGCAACGCCGCGUGCGGGAUGACGGCCUGCGGGUUGUAAACCGCUGUCGCCUGUGACGAAGCGUGAGUGACGGUAAUGGGUAAAGAAGCACCGGCUAACUACGUG